CAGUUAUACGGCCAGUUUUUGAUCAUCCUCACACGAGGAACUUGAAGAAAACUGAUCCAGUGGCAAAGUUUUUCCAGCAUAAGCAGAACUGGGAGAUGUUUAAACCUCCAGGAGAGAAGAGCAGGAAGGAACUGCACUGGGCUAUUAGGGAACAACUUGUGUAUCAGCCUCCACCUCCGAGACCUCAGAAGACGUACAUCCCCAACAUUUAUGUGGUUCAAACAGAGAAGAAGCGAUCUGCGCUAAGAUGGGAGAUCCGACAUGAUUUAGCACAUGGCAUUAUUCCAACAAAAAUCUCUUAUCCCUGACAGAGAAUCUUCAACCUAUGCCUUAUCUUUUAUAUAUGUCUAAUGCUAUUAUUUAUUCAUGAUAUUGACUUUUUUUUACUUCAUUGUACAUGUGAAAUGAGACCUCAAGAUCAUUGUUCUUUUAUGAAAUAAACAUUUUAAUACUUUGAA